rnacentral:lncRNA from 1 species
AUUCAUUAGUAAUCACAAGAUAUACUCAAAUGCUUUGAGCUCAUCAAAAUCAAAUGGGGUUUUAAUCAAUCACUCCACACAUAGGAUCAGUUGCACAACUCCCACUAAGAGAAUCAUCUUUUGACAUGUAAAUAAGACUUCAUAAGAUUUCUCUUUGCAGAUCAUUUCAGUGAACUCAUUCCUCUAAUUAGCACCCACAUCUUUGUAUUAGUGUCUCCACACAAGUGAUUGUGAGAUCAAUCACUCUCUGCAUCGAGCAUAUAUAAGAUGUGCCAGUCUUGCCGGUAACAUUGAUCCCCGACUCAAUGUACCAACGACUGGAAAUACUUAAGAUUAGGAUUUUAGGAUUUUAGGUCUCACUAGUAUGAUCUCAUCAUAGCCCUAAAACCAUUGUCCUAAUCUAAGGGGUUCAUCACAAAUAUAAGAAACAGCAUAUGAUGAAACAUAAUGCCUUUAUUCAUAAUUAAAUGUCACAUACAUGAUUUAGAAAAUCAAAAGAAAAUCCUUCUGAUUGAGUCACCUAAUUUUCUUUCCACAUAAUCUAAUUCUCCUAUUUUAAUCUCAAAAACAAUAAAACCCCUUCAAUUAUUUGUCUCUCAGAUCUCAAAGCAUAUCAUCAUAUUUGCACGAAUCCCAAAGCUCCAUCCACUCCUCCACUUUUCUCUACCAAACAACCCGCUCUCAUCCUAGCUUCGAACUUUAUCCUCCCGAGUCCCAAACUUCAUCAUCUCCCAACCGUAUC